CGCUUUCGGGUGGGGAUCAGUGGCGAACGGGUGAGUAACACGUGAGUAACCUGCCCUUCACUCUGGGAUAACUCCGGGAAACCGGGGCUAAUACUGGAUACGACCUACUCGGGCAUCCGAUGUGGGUGGAAAGAUUUAUUGGUGGAGGAUGGACUCGCGGCCUAUCAGCUUGUUGGUGAGGUAAUGGCUUACCAAGGCGACGACGGGUAGCCGGCCUGAGAGGGCGAUCGGCCACACUGGGACUGAGACACGGCCCAGACUCCUACGGGAGGCAGCAGUGGGGAAUAUUGCACAAUGGGCGAAAGCCUGAUGCAGCGACGCCGCGUGAGGGAUUAAGGCCUUCGGGUUGUAAACCUCUUUCAGCAGGGAAGAAGCGCCUGGGUUUUCUCAGGCGUGACGGUACCUGCAGAAGAAGCACCGGCUAACUACGUGCCAGCAGCCGCGGUAAUACGUAAGGUGCGAGCGUUGUCCGGAAUUAUUGGGCGUAAAGAGCUUGUAGGCGGUUUGUCGCGUCUGCUGUGAAAUUUCGGGGCUCAACCCCGAACUUGCAGUGGGUACGGGCAGACUAGAGUGUGGUAGGGGAGACUGGAAUUCCUGGUGUAGCGGUGAAAUGCGCAGAUAUCAGGAGGAACACCGAUGGCGAAGGCAGGUCUCUGGGCCACUACUGACGCUGAGAAGCGAAAGCAUGGGGAGCGAACAGGAUUAGAUACCCUGGUAGUCCAUGCCGUAAACGUUGGGAACUAGGUGUGGGCCUCAUUCCACGA
rnacentral:rRNA from 1 species